AGUGAACGCUGGCGGUAGGCCUAACACAUGCCAGUCGAACGGCAGCACAGUAAGAGCUUGCUCUUACGGGUGGCGAGUGGCGGACGGGUGAGGAAUACAUCGGAAUCUACUUUUUCGUGGGGGAUAACGUAGGGAAACUUACGCUAAUACCGCAUACGACCUACGGGUGAAAGCAGGGGAUCUUCGGACCUUGCGCGAUUGAAUGAGCCGAUGUCGGAUUAGCUAGUUGGCGGGGUAAAGGCCCACCAAGGCGACGAUCCGUAGCUGGUCUGAGAGGAUGAUCAGCCACACUGGAACUGAGACACGGUCCAGACUCCUACGGGAGGCAGCAGUGGGGAAUAUUGGACAAUGGGCGCAAGCCUGAUCCAGCCAUACCGCGUGGGUGAAGAAGGCCUUCGGGUUGUACAGCCCUUUUGUUGGGAAAGAAAAGCAGCAGGUUAAUACCCCGCUGUUCUGACGGUACCCAAAGAAUAAGCACCGGCUAACUUCGUG
rnacentral:rRNA from 1 species